rnacentral:rRNA from 1 species
GAUGAACGCUGGCGGCGUGCCUAAUACAUGCAAGUCGAGCGAACAGACGAGGAGCUUGCUCCUCUGACGUUAGCGGCGGACGGGUGAGUAACACGUGGAUAACCUACCUAUAAGACUGGGGUAACUUCGGGAAACCGGAGCUAAUACCGGAUAAUAUAUUGAACCGCAUGGUUCAAUAGUGAAAGACGGUUUUGCUGUCACUUAUAGAUGGAUCCGCGCCGCAUUAGCUAGUUGGUAAGGUAACGGCUUACCAAGGCAACGAUGCGUAGCCGACCUGAGAGGGUGAUCGGCCACACUGGGACUGAGACACGGUCCAGACUCCUACGGGAGGCAGCAGUAGGGAAUCUUCCGCAAUGGGCGAAAGCCUGACGGAGCAACGCCGCGUGAGUGAUGAAGGUCUUCGGAUCGUAAAACUCUGUUAUUAGGGAAGAACAAAUGUGUAAGUAACUAUGCACGUCUUGACGGUACCUAAUCAGAAAGCCACGGCUAACUACGUG